GCUAAUACCGCAUAAUGUCUUCGGACCAAACGGGGCUUCGGCUCCGGCGCAAAGAGAGGCCCAAGUGACAUUAGCUAGUUGGUAAGGUAACGGCUUACCAAGGCGACGAUCUCUAGCUGUUCUGAGAGGAAGAUCAGCCACACUGGGACUGAGACACGGCCCAGACUCCUACGGGAGGCAGCAGUGGGGAAUAUUGCACAAUGGGGGAAACCCUGAUGCAGCCAUGCCGCGUGUGUGAAGAAGGCCUUCGGGUUGUAAAGCACUUUCAGUUGUGAGGAAAAGUUAGGAGUUAAUACCUGCUAGCCGUGACGUUAACAACAGAAGAAGCACCGGCUAACUCCGUGCCAGCAGCCGCGGUAAUACGGAGGGUGCGAGCGUUAAUCGGAAUUACUGGGCGUAAAGCGCACGCAGGCGGUUUGUUAAGCUAGAUGUGAAAGCCCCGGGCUCAACCUGGGAUGGUCAUUUAGAACUGGCAGACUA
rnacentral:rRNA from 1 species